rnacentral:rRNA from 1 species
ACUUUUAAAGUAUAGCCUGCCCACUGAUUAAUAUUUAAAGGGCCGCGGUAUUUUGACCGUGCAAAGGUAGCAUAAUCAUUAGUUUUUUAAUUGAAGACUGGAAUGAAUGGUUGAAUGAGAUAUAUGUUGUGUCAUAAAAUUUAAAUUUAAAAUUUAUAUUUUAGUUAAAAAGCUAAAAUGACUUUUAAAGACGAGAAGACCCUAUAAAUCUUUAUAUUUAAAUUAAUUUAAUUUAUAUAGAAUAUAAAUUUAUUAAAUUAAAUUUAGUUUAAAUAUUUUAUUGGGGUGAUAUUAAAAUUUAUUUAACUUUUAAAUUAUUUAUUCAAAUUUAUUUGUAAUAAAAUUGAUCCAAUAUUAUUGAUUAAAAAUUUAAGUUACUUUAGGGAUAACAGCGUAAUUUUUUUGGAGAGUUCAAAUCGAUAAAAAAGAUUGCGACCUCGAUGUUGGACUAAGAUUUAAUUUAGGUGCAGAAGCUUAAAUUUAGAGUCUGUUCGACUUUUAUAUCUUACGUGAUCUGAGGAAAAACACCGGAGAGAAA